UCUCUUCUAAAGAUGCAACUCCCUUAUGAACAGUAACUCCCCUUAUGAAUAGUGUGCUGACGACGUUACCCCUGCCAAUCUAGAGUUUUACUUGAUUGCCCUCAGUGUUGUGCUGUCUCUCACUGGCCAUCUGCUCUGUUGUUUUGUUGCCACGAAGAGAGGGGGUUCGAUCUAUAGUCUAAAAGAGAGAGGGGGGAGAGAGAGAACGAUUGCACCCACCCAGAGGAAGAGAAGAAGAAGAAGAGGGGGACAUGAAGCUCUCAGGGAAAUCACUGGUCCGGGCAAUCCAAUACUAAGGUUUAGAAACAGUUGAUGGGUGUUCAAGAUUUGGAAACUGUGGAAAAUUAUCUCUAUCAGAUUUCAACCUACUUGAUACCACCAAUAACAAGGAGUAGCUCAAAUACUGCAGAGCUACUCUGAAAAAAAUUGUAGAAGAAGAUGGGUGGUACUACCUGGGAUGCUCGAUCUGCCACAAACAAAUGAGGAAAAAACUGGACAGCGAAUUGCUCAUAUGCCAGCAGCAUGAUAUGCAGCACGGCCAAUAUAUCUUCAGAGUCACUGUUCUCAUUGAAGAUGAGACUGAUCAAGCACAUGCAGUCUUAAUGGGCAAAGAAGCAGAAGAAAUCUGUGGAAUCUCAUGGGAGAACUUGAUUAUCAAGAAAAACUGCAAAAACCAAAGAAUCAUACCACAAGAAAUUCUUCAAUUAGAAGGAGAGAUCAAACUGCUGAAAUUGAAGACAGGAACAAAAAGAGAUUUCCUUAUAAAGGGGGUGGGUAUACGAAGAUGUUCACAAGUUCACACCAACCCAAGAUAUCGAACCAACAACUUCCACGCCAAAUCCUCUUAGAUUUGGGAAGAAGAGGAAGGAAUUAUUCAAAGCAAAACCAAGCAAGAACCCAAAAAG